UUUCCGACGUGACGUCAAGUGGUGUAAUACAAACGAGGUUGCCGGCUGCGUUAAAAGUCGCGUCAUCUCUAAACGCAACCGGCAAACUUGCAGAAAUGUCAAACGAUAGCGCGUAGGCAGCGUAAUUUGCUCAUAGCGUCCUUGGAAAAAAUUUUCAAUUCUGAAUAGUAAUCUAUGAAAACAGAAAAGAGACGAAGAUGAAUCGCGAACGAAUAUAAAUAAUAAUUGAAUAAGAGGAAAUACGAGGCAUCUCCAGAGUCACGUAUGCCAUUACAGCCGGAAACGGAAAGAUAACGACUUCGUGUACAAUCCAGUUAUCCGUCGAACUAAAGACGAGAGGAGAUAAAAACGAAACUGUAAAAUGCUCCCUUUGCGCAUCCAAUGCAUCGCAGUAACCGUACAAUCCCUUUCUUCUAAAAAAUCGACAAGGAAAUAUUCGUUCAAUAAAAUCAGUACCAAGACGCAUCAAGUUACGCUGCAUGGAUCUGUAUCCAAACACAACGAUGCAACUUCAUUGCUUCAACUAUGCAUAUUGUUCGUUAAUCGAAUUACGUAGCCGAUAUAUUAAUCGCUAUUCUUGUCCACUCUUAUAAACGACCAUCCAUUAUGUUCUUUUUAAAACGGCAAAUUAUUACUUAUUAAAAAAAUGAAAAUUUAAUUAAACAUUUAUAGAAAAAUUUGAAGUGAAAUUUUUUAAUUUAUGUACAUAUUGAAAUUGAUAAUUUGAUAGACGUAUUAUUGUAUUGUAAUGCGUGCGCAAUAAAUUGGACGCUAAAAGCAGGGCCGACCCUGGGCCUAUGCAGACUGGGCGGCCGCCUAGGGCCCUCCAGAUCCAGGGCCCCAUAAGACGAUUUUGCGUUAAAUUAGUUAUACAAGCUUUAAUGUAUGUUAAUUUUAUAAAUUUUACUUGAGGUACCCUUUUUCGGAGCUCCCCUCGGACCCCUGAAAUCUCAGGGCCGACCCUGAGUAAAAUGUUACAUCUUCCCGGCAAAGUUAUGUCAUGGAUAAAAAUACCGUGAUCCCGCGUACAAAUGGAAGGAAAGAGGUCAACUGUUUUCAGUUCAGUUUCUUGAUAAACGAGAUAAAUGAUUUUACUGCGAAUGCCUCUAUGGAAUAAGUGCCAUGCACUUCUCUCAUGAAUAUUUUUCAAAAUGCAGUCGAACAACCGAAAGAUCUCGUGCUUAUUGGGGUCAAUGGACUGAAAACUUUCCCUGCCGGGCGACAACGAAAAAAAGACAGCGAAUGAGAGUUUAUUGCAAAACCUCGUUCAAAGAUACGCCGGGUAAAAAUCUUAAGUAGUUAAAUAUUUAAACAAAAGUAAAAGUAAAUACUAAACGGCGUUCUUGCGCUCCAGCAUCCAGUUACUUUUUCUCAGACAAAAUGAAUGAGUAAUAUUUCUUUGUCAUGCACAAUGAUGCAGUUAUGGUUUUGGAAACAUUGAGAAAAAUGUUCAACGCAUAACUACCCCUUUCUUAUUGAAGGGUUGAAACAAUCAUGAAGAUUAGUAUUACCAUUUGUAUCUGUUGAUGGUG